GCUUUUCAUCGAAAACUUUCAAUAUUGAAAUGCUGAAAUACUUAUCAUCUAAUUAAUUUGGUCUUUUUUGUGUUCAAAAAGUAUUUUUUUUUUGAAAAUUGUAUUAAACACAUAACUUAAAGCAUUGCUCGUCGGAAGCGACUUCUCUUUCCCAUCACUCUGCUUAGCAACAUCAACAUAUGUAUUACCUGCCCUUUGCUUCAAAUACGAUCGGGGGAAAAUUCUCGAAUAUCCGAAUGAAUGCUGAUGAUAAAUCUGUUGGUGGACAAACAAAAUUUUCAAAAAUUCAAAGUGAUAAAAUCUUUAUUUCAACAUUCAUUUAAAAAGGCAUAUUGCACACUCUAAACUUAAAUUACUUGUAGAUAUUUCA